CCUACGGGUGGCAGCAGUGAGGAAUAUUGGUCAAUGGGCGGAAGCCUGAACCAGCCAAGCCGCGUGCGGGAAGAAGGUACAGCGUAUCGUAAACCUCUUUUGUCAGAGGACAAAGGCGGGUACUAGUCCCCGGCUGAGGGUACCUGACGAAUAAGCAUCGGCUAACUCCGUGCCAGCAGCCGCGGUAAUACGGAGGAUGCAAGCGUUAUCCGGAUUUAUUGGGUUUAAAGGGUGCGCAGGCGGCCUGUUAAGUCAGCGGUAAAAGCCCGGGGCUCAACCCCGGCGAGCCGUUGAAACUGGUGGGCUGGAGUGGGAGAGAAGUACGCGGAAUGUGCGGUGUAGCGGUGAAAUGCUUAGAGAUCGCGCAGAACACCGAUUGCGAAGGCAGCGUACCGGCUCCACACUGACGUUGAGGCACGAAAGCGUGGGGAUCGAACAGGAUUAGAUACCCGGGUAGUC
rnacentral:rRNA from 1 species